rnacentral:rRNA from 1 species
UAGUCCACGCCGUAAACGAUGUCAACUAGCCGUUGGGAGCAUUUAAGCUCUGAGUGGCGCAGCUAACGCGAUAAGUUGACCGCCUGGGGAGUACGCCGGCAACGGUAAAACUCAAAGGAAUUGACGGGGGCCCGCACAAGCGGUGGAGUAUGUGGUUUAAUUCGAAGCAACGCGCAGAACCUUACCUACCCUUGACAUCCCAGGCCAAUCACAGAGAUGUGACUUUCUCUUCGGAGACCUGGUGACAGAUGCUGCAUGGCUGUCGUCAGCUCGUGUCGUAAGAUGUUCGGUUAAGUCCGGUAACGAGCGCAACCCUUAUCUUUAGUUGCCAGCAUUAAGUUGGGCACUCUAGAGAGACUGCCGGUGUCAAACCGGGNGGAAGGCGGGGAUGGACGUCAAGUCCUCAUGGGCUCUUACGGGGUAGGGGCUACACACGUACUACAAUGGGCAGAAACAGACGGCCGCGAAACCGC